CUGGUCCUGUGAUGCUGAUUGAAGUGAGGACGGAGUUCCCUGAGGUCUCCCCAAAUCCAGGAGAUGCAAACCUUAUUUGGGGUCUGAAUGCCCACAAGUGGCACCAGCGGCUGAAAGCCUUUUACCAUUUAUUCAUUCAGGUUGUUCACAAGUCAGUGCUCACAUUUAUUGGAGGCAUAACUCCAGCGUGGUGCAGUAUGUGUGUGUGUGUGUGUGUGUGUGUGUGUGUGGUCGUAUGUGCAUGAGAGGGUGGUCUUGUGGGCAUGGGUAGUGUAUAGGUGGAGUUUGUCACGUGUGCAGGUGGUUAAGGAUGUAAUGUGCAUGUGUAGUGUGUAGGUGGUGUAUGUGUAUGUGCAAAUGCUAUGUGUGUGAAAUGUGUGGGUGUUGUGUGUGUGAAAUGUGUGUGGUGCAUUAUGUGUGUGUCUGUGGUCCAGUGUAUGGUAUGUGUGGUCCAGUGUGUGUGUGUGGUCUGAGUGUGGCAUAGUGUGUGUGGUAUAGUGUGUAUGGUGUGAGUGUGUGGUGCAGUGUGUGUGAUGAGUGUGGUGUGUGUAGUGUAAGUAUGUGGUGCAGCAUAUAUAUGUGUGGUGUGAGUGUGUGGUGCAGAGUGUGGUGUGUGUAGUGUUUGUGAGGUGCAGCAUGUGUGUGGUGUGUGUGGUGUGUAUGUGUAGUGUAAGUGUGUGUGGCGCAGUGUGUGUGUGGCGUGUGGUCUGUAUGUAGUGUGUGUAGUGCAGUGUGUUCGGUCUGUGGUAUGUUUAGUGUGUGGUGCAGCGUGUAUAUGUGUGGUGUGAGUGUGUGAUGCAGAGUGUGGUGUAUGUGGUGUGGUGUGCUGUGGUGUGUGUGUGGUGCUGCAAUGUGUGUGUGGUCUGAGUAUAUGGUGUGAGUGGGUGGCAUGAAUGUGUUGUGCAGAGUGUGGUGUGUGUGCUGUGUGUGUUGUGCUGCAGUGUGUGCAUGACGUGUGUGUGUAGUGUGAGUGUGUGGUGCAGUGGUGCAGUGUGUGUAUGUGUGGCGUGUGGUAUGUGUGUG
rnacentral:lncRNA from 1 species